AAGUCGUAACAAGGUUUCCGUAGGUGAACCUGCGGAAGGAUCAUUAAUGAAUUUAGGGAAUUGAUGCUGGCCUUUGUGCACGUGCUCGUUCCCUCUAAUCCAUACACACCUGUGCACUUGUUUAUCAGAGUCGCUAGUAAAAUAGAGACUCUGGUUAAUCACAUACUCUUAUAAUUUACUUUGAAUGUUUAUCAAGUCGAAAGACUUUUAAAUUAAUACAACUUUUAACAACGGAUCUCUUGGCUCUCGCAUCGAUGAAGAACGCAGCGAAAUGCGAUAAGUAAUGUGAAUUGCAGAAUUCAGUGAAUCAUCGAAUCUUUGAACGCACCUUGCGCUCCUUGGUAUUCCGAGGAGCACGCCUGUUCGAGUGUCAUGAAGCUCUCAAGCGAUAAUAACUUUAUUGUUGUUAUUUAGCUUGGAUUUGGGACCUGCUGUGUUACAACGGCUGUCCCUAAAUGUAUUAGCCGGCUCUAAUGGAAGACUAGGUUCUUACUCGGUGUGAUAAUUAUCUUACGCUGAGGACAUUUCUCUUGUAAAAGGGAGAGAUGGCCAAGACUACUUUUAGGCUGCUUCUAAUCGUCUCUUCUGACAAACAAAUUAUUCAAAUCUGACCUCGAAUCAGGUGGGACUACCCGCUGAACUUAAGCAUAUCAAUAAGCGGAGGAAAAGAAACUAACAAGGAUUCCCCUAGUAACGGCGAGUGAAGCGGGAAAAGCUCAAAUUUAAAAUCUGGUAGCCUUUGGUUAUCCGAGUUGUAAUCUAGAGAAGUAUUUUCCGCGUUGGACCAUGUACAAGUUUCCUGGAACGGAACGUCAUAGAGGGUGAGAAUCCCGUCCUUGACAUGGACUACCAGUGCUUUGUGAUAUACUCUCAAA
rnacentral:sRNA from 1 species